rnacentral:rRNA from 1 species
GAAAAGAAACCAACAGGGAUUGCCCUAGUAACGGCGAGUGAAGCGGCAACAGCUCAAAUUUGAAAUCUGGCUUCGGCCCGAGUUGUAAUUUGCAGAGGAUGUUUCUGGCGCGGUGCCUUCCGAGUUCCCUGGAACGGGACGCCACAGAGGGUGAGAGCCCCGUAUGGUUGGACACCAAGCCUGUGUGAAACUCCUUCGACGAGUCGAGUAGUUUGGGAAUGCUGCUCAAAAUGGGAGGUAAAUCUCUUCUAAAGCUAAAUACCGGCCAGAGACCGAUAGCGCACAAGUAGAGUGAUCGAAAGAUGAAAAGCACCUUGAAAAGGGGGUUAAACAGUACGUGAAAUUGUUGAAAGGGAAGCGCUUGUGACCAGACUUGCGCCGGGCGGUUCAUCCGGGGUUCUCCCCGGUGCACUCCGCCCGGCUCAGGCCAGCAUCGGUUCUCGUUGGGGGAUAAGAACGACAGGAACGUGGCCCUCCUUCGGGUGGGUGUUAUAGCCUGUCGUACGAUACCCUGAUGGGGACCGAGGUUCGCGCUCCCAAGGAUGCUGC